GUGCCAGCCGCCGCGGUAAUACAGAGGGUGCGAGCGUUAAUCGGAAUUACUGGGCGUAAAGCGCGCGUAGGCGGCUAUACAAGUCGAGUGUGAAAUCCCCGGGCUCAACCUGGGAACUGCAUUCGAGACUGUAUGGCUUGAGUAUGGGAGAGGGAGGCGGAAUUUCAGGUGUAGCGGUGAAAUGCGUAGAUAUCUGAAGGAACAUCAGUGGCGAAAGCGGCCUCCUGGACCAAUACUGACGCUCAUGUGCGAAAGCGUGGGGAGCAAACAGGAUUAGAAACCCGCGUAGUCC
rnacentral:rRNA from 1 species